rfam:Brachypodium distachyon strain Bd21 chromosome 1, whole genome shotgun sequence.
GGAGUACUCCCUCCGUCCAACAAUGGAUGUCUCAACUUUGACUAAACUUGAAUGCAUCUAUACACCAGAUCACAUUUAGAUACAUUCAAAUUUUAACAAAUUUGAGACAUCUUUUGUUGGACGGAGGGAGUAGUAU